UAGCCUAGUGGUUAAGGCUAUGGAUCGCCAAUCCGGAGACGACGGGUUCGAUUCCCGU
rfam:Aedes albopictus isolate Foshan contig355055, whole genome shotgun sequence.